rnacentral:rRNA from 1 species
UUCGGGAGCUAACACAGGUGCUGCAUGGCUGUCGUCAGCUCGUGUCGUGAGAUGUUCGGUUAAGUCCGCUAACGAGCGCAACCCUCGCCGUGUGUUAUAAGUGUCACGCGGGACCGCCGGUCUUAAGCCGGAGGAAGGUGGGGAUGACGUCAAAGUCAGCAUGGCCUUUAUGUCCUGGGCUACACACACGCUACAAUGGCCAGUACAAUUGGUAGCGAAGUCGCGAGGCGGAGCCAAUCCGUAAAAGCUGGCCUCAGUUCAGAUUGCAGGCUGCAACCCGCCUGCAUGAAGAUGGAGUUGCUAGUAACCGCAGGUCAGCAAUACUGCGGUGAAUACGUUCCCGGGCCUU